AGCGAACGCUGGCGGCAGGCCUAACACAUGCAAGUCGAACGGACCUUUCGGGGUUAGUGGCGGACGGGUGAGUAACACGUGGGAACGUGCCUUUAGGUUCGGAAUAGCUCCUGGAAACGGGUGGUAAUGCCGAAUGUGCCCUUAGGGGGAAAGAUUUAUCGCCUUUAGAGCGGCCCGCGUCUGAUUAGCUAGUUGGUGAGGUAAUGGCUCACCAAGGCUACGAUCAGUAGCUGGUCUGAGAGGAUGACCAGCCACAUUGGGACUGAGACACGGCCCAAACUCCUACGGGAGGCAGCAGUGGGGAAUCUUGCGCAAUGGGCGAAAGCCUGACGCAGCCAUGCCGCGUGGAUGAUGAAGGUCUUAGGAUUGUAAAAUCCUUUCACCGGUGAAGAUAAUGACUGUAGCCGGAGAAGAAGCCCCGGCUAACUUCGUGCCAGCAGCCGCCGUAAUAC
rnacentral:rRNA from 1 species